rnacentral:siRNA from 1 species
AGCUACCGUGCGCUGGAUUAUGAC